rnacentral:lncRNA from 1 species
CCAUAGCUAUUUCCUGUUAUUCUAGAGACUUCCACAAUGGGGUAACCGCAGCGACCUCAAUGAGAUGAAAGUAGUGUGAAGUCAAUGGAGUAGUCAGUCCCCCUCCUGUCCCCUUCUCUUCCCAACCACCCUGUGGCUCAUGUCUCAGACUAACUACCCAAUUUAUUAAACAUAGAGGAAAACUCCGCUCCAAAACUUUCUUUUGGUAUUUUUUUUCAUUAGUCCACUGCUGACAUGCAACACAUUCUGGGACUACAUCAACAGUGGCCUGAUGAAAAAAAUACAAACAUAUUUUCUGCUUUAACUUGAUGAAUUAACAUGGUAAUGUGUGUAUACAACUGCCAACGUCUCUGUAAUGAUGGUUUGUAUGUACUGUAGGUAGUUUGAUGGGUGCUGAUAGUGUUGUUUUCAUAUGAUAUUGGCAGCAACCCUUGAUGAGGGUGUCACAAACUCCUCCAAAGGAGUUAUCUGCUUUGGGGUUGUGGUUCGAGUCCCAGCUGGAAUACCCCUGAAAACGCUAUAAUAUGUUGCCAUGUUGGAUGGGAUGUCAGUCCCAGUUAUGUGGAUUAAUUAGUGUUAUUGUCUGUUCUGAUGUAUUCACAGGUGGGGUACGAGAUGCCAAUAAGAGAUCCGUGUUCUCAGGCCUAUAGUGAUGAAGACCAGAGAGAGAGAGAC